CAGUGGGGAAUAUUGCACAAUGGGGGGAAACCCUGAUGCAGCGACGCCGCGUGAGUGAAGAAGUAUUUCGGUAUGUAAAGCUCUAUCAGCAGGGAAGAAAAUGACGGUACCUGACUAAGAAGCCCCGGCUAACUACGUGCC
rnacentral:rRNA from 1 species